rnacentral:sRNA from 1 species
GUCUCGUGGCGGCGCGUGUUGGGUCUGCGUUUCCCCUCUGGGGAGCUUGGGCAGCAUGAGCCCAGGGCUGUGGACAGCCUGGUGCUCACGGGUUUGUGGCUCCACAGACUUCCCAAGAAGGACAACCCGAGGCGAGGCUUGUGGCUGGCCAACUGCCAGCGGCUGGACCCCAGCGGCCAGGGCCUGUGGGACCCGGCAUCCGAGUACAUCUACUUCUGCUCCAAACACUUUGAGGAGAACUGCUUUGAGCUGGUGGGAAUCAGUUGCGCCGGACAACCAAGACCAAAGGACACAGUUAUCCACCUGGCCCCCCUGAAGUCAGCCGGCUCAGACGAUGCAGGAAGCGCUGCUCCGAGGGCCGAGGGCCCACAACUCCAUUUUCUCCACCUCCACCUGCUGAUGUCACCUGCUUUCCUGUGGAAGAGGCCUCAGCACCUGCCACUUUGCCGGCCUCCCCAGCUGGGAGGCUGGAGCCUGGCCUUAGCAGCCCCUUUUCAGACCUACUGG